rnacentral:rRNA from 1 species
GGACGAACGCUGGCGGCGUGCUUAACACAUGCAAGUGGAGCGACGAACCGGGCUUGCCCCGGGGCAGAGCCGCGAACGGGUGAGUAACACGUGGGUAACCUGCCUCAAUGAUUGGGACAACCCGGGGAAACUCGGGCUAAUACCAAAUGUGUUCACUCCUUCUAAGGGGAGUGAGGAAAGGAAGCUUCGGCCUCCGCAUUGAGAUGGGCCCGCGGCCCAUUAGCUUGUUGGUGAGGUAACGGCUCACCAAGGCUUCGAUGGGUAGCUGGUCUGAGAGGACGAUCAGCCACACUGGGACUGAGACACGGCCCAGACUCCUACGGGAGGCAGCAGUGGGGAAUCUUGCACAAUGCGCGAAAGCGUGAUGCAGCAACGCCGCGUGGGGAAGACGGCCUUCGGGUUGUAAACCCCUUUCAGUUGGGACGAAGCUUCGUCGGUGAAUAGCCGGUUGGAGUGACGGUACCUUCAGAAGAAGCCCCGGCUAACUACGUG